rnacentral:misc_RNA from 1 species
CAAUAUAAGAAGAAUAGUUGUUCCAAUGUUCCUUUUCGAUAUUGCUUAACGGAUAGUGUAGUUUCUUUUUCGACAUAUUCCCCUUGGUUCUUGCUUGUUAUGGUUCUUGUUUAAGCUAUGUGCAAUGCCAAAAUAUAAUGCUCUUGAAAGGAUUUAACUUUGUGGUGAAUUUAUGUGUGUUUUAACUUUUAAGUAUGAUAUUGACCCUAGGUGUGAAUACGGAGUUGGUGUUUUGAGCCAUUUUAAGAAUUUGUGACUAUAAGGGUUUAAGUCAUUCUGAAUUCUUGUUUUAUUAAGGAA